rnacentral:rRNA from 1 species
GAGACUCUGUGCGCGUGCAUAUCAAUAAGCGGAGGAAAAGAAACUAACAAGGAUUCCCCUAGUAACGGCGAGUGAAGCGGGAAGAGCUCGAAUUUGAAAUCUUAAAGGGUUUCCCUUUACGAAUUGUAGAUUAAAGAAGUGUUUUCUGUUGGAGUUUCGGUAAAAGUUCUUUGGAAUAGGACAUCAUAGAGGGUGAGAAUCCCGUAUUUGACCGUUACUUUCCAGCUGUGUGAUACACUUUCAAAGAGUCGGAUUGUUUGGGAAUGCAGUCCAAAAUGGGUGGUAAAUUUCAUCUAAAGCUAAAUAUUGGCGAGAGACCGAUAGCGAACAAGUACCGUGAGGGAAAGAUGAAAAGAACUUUGAAAAGAGAGUUAAACAGUACGUGAAAUUGUCAAAAGGGAAGCGUUUGACACCAGUGUUGUUUUCUCGAAGAUCAAUUAAAAAAUGCCGGAUUUUGUGUUGUAUUGACCUUAUAAGCUUUCUGCACUCUUUUUCUUAUCUUUUUUAAUGCGCUUUUCGUUUAACAAGUCAACAUCAAUUUCUUUUGUUGUAAAAGAGUCAUUGGAAGGUGGCUUUCUUUUCGGAGAAAGUGUUUAUAGCCUUUGAUCUCUGCAACCGGAGAGACUGAGGUCUGCAGCGUAGACUCUUCGGGGUUAGAUACAUUUGUGCUAAGCUAUAGCUUUUUAUAGACAACUUGUUGACUAUAUUUAGUCUUGUGGCUUACUCGCUUAUGCUAUUUUACCUACGCUUAGGAUGUUGAAGAUGUAGCACAUCAU